UCCGCAGCGGAAGCAGGAAGUGUGCGACCAUGGAGAACUCACGCGUAUCGGUGCCCCUGUCUCUGCCCAAACACUCAUACUGGUUUGAUUUCUGGAUGUUUCUGCUGUUUGACGUCGUUCUCCUUUCGAUCAUUUACUUCGUCAUCCCGUGAGCGAAAGCUUCAGGAAUCCGGUUCACUAAAGAGAGAACGAGUCAGAAUCUCGGCUGAGACGGACGUGAAUGACAGCGUCCGCAUGUUCUGCUUCUUCAUCACAAUUCUUGCUUGACUCGCAUCACUUUAACGCUGACUGAAAUGAAACGUGCUCACAAAACGAAAAACAGGUGUUUUCCCAGAAUGCACAUUCCUGCCCUGAGAUGAGACCAACGUUCACGUGUCGGAGGGUUUUUAUGCACAUUGCAAACGAAAAAUAAUCAAGUGUGUUUGAUUAAAUUGAUUUGACAUGUG